rnacentral:rRNA from 1 species
UAAACGACUCUCGGCAACGGAUAUCUCGGCUCUCGCAUCGAUGAAGAACGUAGCGAAAUGCGAUACUUGGUGUGAAUUGCAGAAUCCCGUGAACCAUCGAGUCUUUGAACGCAAGUUGCGCCCCAAGCCGUCAGGCCGAGGGCACGUCUGCCUGGGUGUCACGC